rnacentral:snoRNA from 1 species
UUCAGACAAUAAUGUUUCUAUUAAAAUUGAACCUGUCUGAAGCAUUGCAGUGAUGCAUAAUUUUCAAGGUCCAUUUCUCUGAUG